AGGGCCGCAUCUGCGUCAGGUUCCCCGCAAGGGGAUCAAAAGGGAACGGGGUUCAAGACCCCGGCUGCCCCUGCAACUGUGAGCGGCGAGCCAUCGAGGCACAGGCCAUUGGAAUCGAUGAUUCCGAGAAGGCGCUUCGAAUACGGCAUUGACCCGCAAGCCAGGAGACCUGCCUGUCGCGGUCGUUCUUC
rnacentral:ncRNA from 2 species